UUCUGGCAACCGCGAUACCACAAUAAUUCAUUCAACACUGUCAAAACAUCAGUCCUCAAACAGGAGAGUGUUGUGAAUCGAGACGGUCAACACUCGGUUUCUCGUGCAGUUGUCGUAGAGUGUAGAUAGCUGUAGCAAAUUGACGACCCAUUCGCGUUUUUCGACGGAACCGAGGAAAUAUACUAGUCGGUAAAGCAAGUUUUGCAGCUUUCGGACGAAUUUAAUCCAAUCAACCUGCUAACACGCUGCUGAGAAGGUAAAAAGAAAAACGUCUACUUUUGCGCAGAUAAUGAAUACAUCUAGCUUGGGGUGUUCGUUCAGUGUGACAAACGGAACAGAUUGUUCGUCUUCUGCUUGGCCCACGAAUGUCUCGGUAGUAUAAUCAGCUUCAUCGGGAAUGAAAGACGAGUGUCCAUCGGAAAGGACGAUCCGAUCAAACUGCUGUCUUAUAGCCCGACGAAUCCACCGGUACUAGAUGCGUUGAGCGAAACCUGUCAUAAGGAGGUUGAAAAUAACCAGGUAGCUCUAUGCUGCAGUACAGAGCGGAAGACGGUUUGAGGAUGAACAUCGUUGAUUGGCGUGUUGGGGCGUACGUCGAUCACCACGACAUGGUACACAUGCUGCGGAUGUGUCAAGAUAUGAACUGGCAGAGUGGACGAAAAAUUAAAGGCGUUUUUGCUUGACCCCGAAACUGAGUCAGGUUCUGACCUCAACCGGUGUCAGUUCAUACAUUUUGACAACAGUUGGGGUUAGAACAUGACUCAGUUUCGCUUCAAGCAAGAAUAACGUAAGACUGUGUUCUAUUCGCAAAGAAAAAAAGUUUGAGGAACGAAAGGAAGCUAACUGGAUCAGAUGACUUAACGAUUCCGUUGUAUACCUUUUGGAGACCGCUUAACAUGUUUAAUGUUUAUG